rnacentral:rRNA from 1 species
GAACGCUGGCGGCGUGCCUAAUACAUGCAAGUCGAGCGAAUGACGAGGAGCUUGCUCCUCUGAUUUAGCGGCGGACGGGUGAGUAACACGUGGGUAACCUGCCUGUAAGACGGGGAUAACUUCGGGAAACCGAAGCUAAUACCGGAUAAUAAAGAGAAACUCCUGUUUCUUUUUUGAAAGUCGGUUUCGGCUGACGCUUACAGAUGGGCCCGCGGCGCAUUAGCUAGUUGGUGAGGUAACGGCUCACCAAGGCCACGAUGCGUAGCCGACCUGAGAGGGUGAUCGGCCACACUGGGACUGAGACACGGCCCAGACUCCUACGGGAGGCAGCAGUAGGGAAUCUUCGGCAAUGGACGAAAGUCUGACCGAGCAACGCCGCGUGAGCGAUGAAGGCCUUCGGGUCGUAAAGCUCUGUUGUCAGAGAAGAACAAGUACCGGAGUAACUGCCGGUACCUUGACGGUACCUGACCAGAAAGCCACGGCUAACUACGUGCCAGCAGCCGCGGUAAUACGUAGGUGGCAAGCGUUAUCCGGAAUUAUUGGGCGUAAAGCGCGCGCAGGCGGUUCCUUAAGUCUGAUGUGAAAGCCCACGGCUCAACCGUGGAGGGUCAUUGGAAACUGGGGAACUUGAGUGCAGGAGAGAAAAGUGGAAUUCCACGUGUAGCGGUGAAAUGCGUAGAGAUGUGGAGGAACACCAGUGGCGAAGGCGACUUUCUGGUCUGUAACUGACACUGAGGCGCGCGAAAGCGUGGGGAGCAAACAGGAUUAGA